ACAAAACUGACAGUACAACAUCACAGGGGCAUGUCGGAUGAUUCAUGGAAAAAUUGGAUGGACACCUGAGGCAGAAAGGAGUAUGUUGAUAGGUUUGUAGUUUUGAGCUAUUGUGAUUUGAAGAGAACCUCAGUGGAAUCCCCAUCCACUGCCUGCCUUCAUACCUCCAAGUGAUUGGGGCCAUGGGAAUGAGAGGGACCUUCACGGGACAUCAAAUUCAAGUGAUGUACCAGUUGACAGCCAGCUGAGUAAAAAGCAAUCAUGUUGCAGGAGUGGAGGGUAACCUUUCAUUAAGAUGUGCUCCAGGAGACCAAGAAUUCCCAACCCUCCAAUUUCCUGUGAGGAAUUGCCUGACCUUGUUGUAACUCUUACAUCCUUGCCCUUUUCCACAAAGGGACGUUGAGCUGUGUAUCGAGUGAUGUAAAAAUGUAAGAACUGGAAGCAGGAUCAGGCCAUACAAGCCCUUGAAUCUGCUCUGCCAAUCAGUAGGUUCUUGUAUCUCAAGUCUACUUUCCUGCCAAAUUCCCAAGUCCAUGUCCAAAAGUCUAUCAACCUCUAAUGUGACAGAGAACCCACAGUCUCUUGGGUAGAGAAAUCCAAA